rnacentral:tRNA from 1 species
CCUGUUGUAGCUCAGUGGUAGAGCAUUGGCUGUAUAAGCUAAAGAUAGUGGGUUCGAUCCCCUAGCAGUA